AGGCUGGGUAGAUUUUCAGAGACCCGUAUGAUGCGGUGCUGAAAUAAGCUUUGGAAUUUAAUUUUCCAACUUAAAAUUAAUCCCUCCUAACUAAAUUCAUAUCUUCAUGUUAAGUUAAACGACACAUCGAAAGGAAAACCAUCUUCAUGUAUCGGAAAAUGGUCCACUGAAGCGUGUGAAGAAACUGUAUUUUGAUGAUGAAACACUUCCAGUGCCACGUUCUACACACUAUUGGAGACAGAUUUAAUGUAGAAAACUACACAAAUAUCUGAAUAAUGUUAUGAAAAAGAUGGAUGAAAUCCACCCAUUACAGUUACCAGAAGCUCCUGUAGUUAGUCACCUAAUUCCAGUUUAGUUCUCUGAGAUUCUUGUGAUGGUGAAUGUUGAGGAACUCUGUGAAGUCCUAGUGUUUUAAUUGACGCAAGAUUACAUGCAAAUUCAGAAGACACUAAGUAUGCAGAAUUCCGAACAGAUACAGUAAAAAAAAAAUUAAAUAAUGUGUAAUUUGGUGACAAAUUAUAGUCAGUUAUAUACAUGUAUAUGUAUGUGUGUAGCAGAAGAUUUUGUAAGGACUUAAAGGAGAAGUACUUUUUGGUAUUUCAGGGAUAAUUUUCUCCAGUUCUCCAUAAAAGCUUAUGUUUGGAUACUCAUUAGGAGUGCCUCGUAACGUUGUUUCUAGUGAGUACCCACAUAAUGUUUUAAGAUUAGAAAUAAUACAAAGUAUCCCAGACCUAUCAACAAACACUCCUCCUUAACAUUAGUCCUCUGUUUGUGUAUGAUAUAUAUAUAUAUCUCAUGAUAUGACAGCAAUAUCUUGCAGACACCACAGCAAGCAAAGUUUCAAUGUGAAAAUUGUUUUGAAAUAUAAUUUGAAAGAAGUCAAAUUAUCAUUGUCUGAACUAGUUUAUUUUAAAUAUGUAGAGCAAUUGUAGGACAAUUGUAGACUUUGGUUCUAGACCUGUUCUAUAUGUGUUCUUAUUCCCCACUAGAAUGUUUGUAGAACUUACUGGUUCUUAAAGAGUUCUAAAUGUGUUCUAGAACUACAGUUUAGAACAUUUUUAGAAAUUUCUUGAACUUAUUUUGUUCUAGAAAUGUUCUAAAAAUGUUCUUGUAUAUUAUUGGAACAGUUUCAGAACUAAGCCUUGUUCCACAAAUGUCUGGAAUUAUUCUAGAAAACAGUUCUGGAACAAUUCCAGAACAUAAGUUCUAGAACGCGAAUAUGGAACAUUCUAGAACUGUUCUUGAUGUUCUAGAACAGUUCCAGAACCGUUCCAAUUUCUAGAACAAAUCUUCGCAGGGGUGAAAGGCACUGGGCAGAUACCAUAUCCACGAUGCCACUAUGACCUAAAUAAUUAUGACCCCCUUAUGUAUUAAUCAGCCUCAAGGUUUAUUACCUUACUACUAUAAAACUGUAAAAAUGGUCUGCUUAUUAUUCUGGCUCUAUUUCUAAAAUUUCACUUGUCUGAACCAUAACUUAUUUACCUUAUAUUAACUUUGACUUAUGGAUUCAUUAGCUAUGACUGUCUUAUAGUUAUUUAUGUAUCAACUCUCAUAAACAAAUGAUUAGUAAUUUAAUCAUACAUACCUAUUGCAUCAGCAUAAUUCCAUAAAGAUCCAUUCAGUCAUAAAGCUAUACAUGUUUUCUUAAAAUUGCAUUAUUUUUGUAAGAAACUCACCAUCUGAUCUGCAUUUGUUUUUUCUUUACCAUUAAGAAAAGGCACAAUAACUU